rnacentral:rRNA from 1 species
UACGAAGGGGGCUAGCGUUGUUCGGAAUUACUGGGCGUAAAGCGUACGUAGGCGGAUUGUUAAGUGAGGGGUGAAAUCCCGAGGCUCAACCUCGGAACUGCCUUUCAUACUGGCAAUCUUGAGUCCGGGAGAGGUGAGUGGAACUCCUAGUGUAGAGGUGAAAUUCGUAGAUAUUAGGAAGAACACCAGUGGCGAAGGCGGCUCACUGGCCCGGAACUGACGCUGAGGUGCGAAAGCAUGGGGAGCGAACAGG